GACGUAGGGGUCGAGCGUUGUCCGGAUUCCUUGGGCGUAAAGCGCGCGUAGGCGGCCCGGUAAGUCGGAUGUGAAAUCUCACGGCUCAACCGUGGAACUGCAUUCGAUACUGUCGGGCUAGAGGCAGGUAGGGGAGAUCGGAAUUCCCGGUGUAGCGGUGAAAUGCGCAGAUAUCGGGAGGAACACCGGUGGCGAAGGCGGAUCUCUGGGCCUGUCCUGACGCUCAGGCGCGAAAGCUAGGGGAGCAAACAGG
rnacentral:rRNA from 1 species